CUGCGUGCUGCUGUGGUGGUGUCCCAUCCCGUGGAGCGCGCGGCGCAGCCCUACGUUACCCAUCAGCCUCCGCCCCGCGCGCUGUCUGCUGCUCUACUGCGGACAACAAUGACGGACAACAUUCAGCUGCAGCCUGUCCGACACAAAAAACGACAUGACAGUAAACGAAGAGACGGCUGCUGCCCGUGGUCCAGAUGCUGCGGAGGGGGAGACUUCCGUCCUCGGACCGUGUGGUUGGGCCAUCCGGAAAAGAGAGAGCAGAGAUACCCAAGAAAUGUCAUUAACAACCAGAAAUACAAUUUCUUCACCUUCCUGCCAGGGGUGUUGUUUAACCAGUUCAAAUACUUCUUCAACCUGUACUUUCUGCUGCUGGCCUGCUCACAGUUUGUGAAUGAGCUCAGAUUAGGAGCUCUGUAUACGUACUGGGUUCCUCUGGGGUUUGUUUUGAUUAUUACGAUCGUGAGGGAAGCUGUCGAGGAGAUGCGAUGUUUCCUACGGGACAAAGAGGUCAAUUCACAGAUCUACAGUAAACUCUCCACAAGAGGAACUGUGAAGGUGAAAAGUAGUGGCAUCCAGGUUGGAGAUCUUAUCAUUGUUGAAAAGAAUCAGCGUGUUCCUGCUGACAUGAUCUUCCUGAGGACCUCUGAAAGAAAUGGCUCCUGUUUUCUGAGGACUGAUCAGUUGGAUGGAGAAACUGAUUGGAAACUGCGCCUCCCUGUGGCCUGUACACAGAGACUUCCUACCGCUGCUGAUCUACUGCAGAUCAGAUCAUUUGUUUAUGCUGAAGAACCGAACAUUGACAUCCAUAACUUCAUCGGUACCUUCACUAGAGAAGAUGGAGACCCUCCAGUUAAUGAAAGUCUGAGCAUUGAGAACACUCUGUGGGCGAGCACUGUCAUUGCUUCUGGCACAGUGGUUGGGGUGGUGAUUUACACCGGUAAAGAGCUGCGCAGUGUAAUGAACACCUCCAACCCAAGACACAAGAUCGGCCUGUUUGACCUGGAAGUGAACUGUCUGACUAAGAUCCUGUUUGGAGCUCUGGUGGUGGUGUCUCUGGUCAUGGUGGCUCUGCAGCACUUCGCUGGACGCUGGUAUCUCCAGAUCUUCCGCUUCCUUCUGCUCUUCUCCAACAUCGUCCCCAUCAGUUUGCGUGUGAAUUUGGACAUGGGAAAAAUGGUGUUCAGUUGGAUGAUCAAGAAAGACUCUAAAAUCCCCGGGACCGUAGUCCGAGCCAGUACCUUCCCAGAACAGCUGGGCCGGAUCUCUUAUCUGCUCACAGACAAAACUGGGACUCUCACUCAGAAUGAGAUGGUGUUCAGACGACUCCAUCUUGGAACCGUGGCGUACGGGAUGGACUCCAUGGAUGAAGUGCAGAGUCAUGUGUUCAGCGCUUACACUCAGCCUCCUCAAGACCUGCAGGCCUCUCGUGGACCAGGCGCUCCCAAAGUGAGGAAGACCAUCAGCAGUCGAGUGCACGAGGCAGUGAAGGCCAUCGCGCUGGUGCACAACGUGACCCCAGUGUACGAGUCCAACGGUGUGACGGAUCAGGCAGAGGCUGAGAUGCACUAUGAAGACACAUGCAGGGUUUACCAAGCCUCCAGUCCAGAUGAGGUGUCUCUGGUUCAGUGGACGGAGAGUGUCGGUCUGACGCUGGUCGGUAGAGAUCAGUCUUCAAUGCAGCUGAGGACACCUAGUGGACAAAUACUGAACUUCACCAUCCUGCAGAUUUUCCCCUUUACCUACGAGAGCAAGCGCAUGGGCAUCAUAGUGCGAGAUGAAUCCACAGGAGAGAUCACGUUUUACAUGAAGGGUGCUGAUGUGAUGAUGGCCGGUAUCGUUCAGUACAACGACUGGCUGGAGGAGGAGUGUGGGAAUAUGGCUAGGGAAGGCUUGAGGGUGCUAGUGGUGGCCAAAAAGUCCCUAACAGAAGAACAAUACCAAGAUUUUGAGGCUCGCUACGUCCAGGCCAAGUUGAGCGUUCACGAUCGUUCGCUGAAGGUCGCCACAGUGAUCGAGAGUCUGGAGAUGGAGAUGGAGCUCUUGUGUCUUACUGGAGUCGAGGACCAGCUACAGGCCGAUGUCAGACCCACUCUGGAGAUACUGCGCAACGCUGGCAUCAAAGUUUGGAUGCUGACGGGGGACAAAUUAGAGACUGCAACCUGCACAGCCAAAAACGCCCAUCUAGUGACCCGCAAUCAGGACAUCCACGUGUUCAGGCCUGUAACCACUCGAAGCGAAGCCCACCUUGAGCUCAACGCCUUCAGAAGGAAACACGACUGCGCGCUGGUGAUAUCAGGAGACUCUCUGGAGGUUUGUCUGAAGUAUUAUGAGUAUGAGUUUAUGGAGUUGGCAUGUCAGUCUCCGGCUGUUGUCUGCUGCCGCUGCGCUCCCACACAGAAAGCCCAGAUCGUUCGACUGCUGCAGGAACGCACCGGCAAACUCACCUGCGCCGUGGGGGAUGGAGGAAAUGAUGUCAGCAUGAUCCAGGAAGCAGACUGCGGCGUGGGAGUAGAGGGCAAAGAAGGGAAGCAGGCGUCUCUGGCUGCAGAUUUCUCCAUCACUCAGUUUAAGCACUUGGGCAGACUUCUCAUGGUCCACGGCAGAAACAGCUACAAGCGCUCCGCCGCACUCAGCCAGUUUGUCAUCCACCGGAGUCUCUGCAUCAGCACCAUGCAGGCCGUGUUCUCCUCUGUCUUCUACUUUGCAUCUGUUCCACUUUAUCAAGGCUUCCUCAUUAUCGGAUACUCCACUAUCUACACCAUGUUCCCAGUUUUCUCUCUGGUUUUGGAUAAAGAUGUCAAGUCUGAGGUGGCCAUGUUAUAUCCUGAACUUUACAAAGAUCUUCUAAAGGGACGGCCUCUCUCGUUCAAAACCUUCUUAAUAUGGGUCUUGAUCAGUAUCUACCAAGGUAGCAUCAUCAUGUACGGGGCUCUGCUGCUGUUCGAGUCAGAGUUUGUGCACAUCGUGGCGAUUUCGUUCACGUCUCUGAUCCUGACGGAGCUGCUGAUGGUGGCGCUGACCGUGCAGACGUGGCACUGGCUGAUGAUCGUAGCUGAACUCCUCAGUCUGGCCUGCUACAUCGCAUCCCUCGUCUUCUUACACGAGUUCAUCGAUGUGUAUUUCAUCGCCACCCUGUCGUUUGUGUGGAAGGUGACGGCCAUCACUCUGGUCAGCUGUCUGCCGCUCUACAUCCUCAAAUACCUGCGCCGGCGCUUCUCGCCUCCCAGCUACUCCAAACUGACCUCCUGAGCCCUUCACUGCCUCCUCGAUCCGCUCAAACAAGCCUAGCACUGCUGGAACGUCAGGUUUUUUGAAUAAAUGGAUGCUACAGUGCCAUAAAAAACCAGAGCUAUUUCCACAUCCCGCGUCUGUGUUUGUCCACUCAUGCGGUGACCUCUGACGCUCUGAACUCCGUCUGACCAUUACGAGCCGUACAUACACCUACACUUCUUCAGACUGCUCUCAAUCACCGGUUUACAGGGCCAAACCCCAUGAGUCCGCACCAAACCUUCUAAUCUUCUCCUCGAGGUGUCCUUAAAAGCCGCCGUUUGUCUCUGUAAAUGAUGCUGAAUGUGACGUGCACUUCAAAUUGUGUCUGUGUUUUCUGUAACCGUGCCAUACUCUCUUUCACCUUCAGACAUGUUAUUCUGUCCAACUGACACUUCUCUUGCAUGGAUCAGAGUUUGUACUGAUUGUGAUGUGGACCUGAUCUUCACCUGACUACCUUCUUGUGUUUUUUAUGUUUAUAUGAAAGUUUUUUUUUUUUUGUUUUUUUUUGGUUGGUAAUGUAAUCUGCAGAAUUGUAAAUAAUAACAAAAAAAAUUCUCUUAUUUAUUGAUUUUUCUUAUUUGUGUUGGAAUUUGCACUCUAAUACUUGCAGAACAAAAAAGGGACGAGUGAGUCUCAGGAUAAGAGGUGUUUAAAAUAAAAAUCUUUUCUUAACCA